UACGUAGGGGGCAAGCGUUGGCCGGAUUCAUUGGGCGUAAAGAGCGUGUAGGCGGCCAGAUAGGUCAGCUGUGAAAACUCGGGGGCUCAACCCUGAGACGUCGGUUGAAACCAUCUGGCUAGAGUCCGGAAGAGGAGUGUGGAAUUCCCGGUGUAGCGGUGAAAUGCGCAGAUAUCGGGAAGAACACCCGUGGCGAAGGCGGCACUCUGGGACGGUACUGACGCUGAGACGCGAAAGCGUGGGGAGCGAACAGG
rnacentral:rRNA from 1 species